rnacentral:rRNA from 1 species
GUUUGAUCCUGGCUCAGAACGAACGUUAGCGGCGCGCCUAACACAUGCAAGUCGAGCGAGAAGGAAGCAAUUCCUGUAAAGCGGCGCACGGGUGAGUAACACGUAGGUAAUCUACCUCGAAGUGGUGGAUAACCUUCCGAAAGGAGGGCUAAUACAGCAUGAGACCACGGUUUCGAAAGAGAUUGAGGUCAAAGCGGGCCACUAUACAUAAGCUCGCGCUUCGAGAUGAGCCUGCGGCCCAUCAUGGUAGUUGGUAGGGUAAUGGCCUACCAAGCCGAAGACGGGUAGCUGGUCUGAGAGGAUGAUCAGCCACACUGGAACUGAGACACGGUCCAGACUCCUACGGGAGGCAGCAGUGGGGAAUCUUGCGCAAUGGGCGAAAGCCUGACGCAGCGACGCCGCGUGAGUGAUGAAGGCCUCGG